rnacentral:rRNA from 1 species
UUCCGGUUGAUCCCGCCGGAGGUUACUGCUAUCGAGGUUCGACUAAGCCAUGCGAGUCGAAUGUAGCAAUACAUGGCGAACUGCUCAGUAACACGUGGACAACCUGCCCUUAGGUUGGGUAUAAACCCGGGAAACUGGGUAUAAUACCCGAUAGGUCUCGAUUGCUGGAAUGCAUCGAGAUUUAAAGCUCCGGCGCCUAAGGAUGGGUCUGCAGCCUAUCAGGUAGUAGUGGGUGUAGCGUACCUACUAGCCUACGACGGGUACGGGUUGUGAGAGCAAGAGCCCGGAGAUGGAUUCUGAGACACGAAUCCAGGCCCUACGGGGUGCAGCAGGCGCGAAAACUUUACAAUGCUGGCAACAGCGAUAAGGGAACCUCGAGUGCCAGGUUACAAAUCUGGCUGUCGAGAUGCCUAAAAAGCAUUUCAUAGCAAGGGCCGGGCAAGACCGGUGCCAGCCGCCGCGGUAACACCGGCGGCUCGAGUGGUAACCGUUAUUAUUGGGUCUAAAGGGUCUGUAGCCGGCCGGAUAAGUCUCUUGAGAAAUCUGGCAGCUUAACUGUCAGGCUUUCAGGAGAUACUGUCUGGCUCGAGGCCGGGAGAGGUGAGAGGUACUUCAGGGGUAGGGGGUGAAAUCUUGUAAUCCUUGAAGGACCACCAGUGGCGAAGGCGUCUCACCAGAACGGACCUGACGGCAAGGGACGAAAGCUAGGGGCACGAACCGGAUUAGAUACCCGGGUAGUCCUAGCCGUAAACGAUACUCGCUAGGUGUCGGCCACGGUGCGACCGUUGUCGGUGCCGUAGGGAAGCCGUGAAGCGAGCCACCUGG